UAUAGAGUGGCUGUAGGGUAUUAGGGUAUAGAGUGGCUGUAGGGUAUUAGGGUAUAGAGUGGCUGUAGGGUAUGGAGUGGCUGUAUGUUAUUAGGGUAUAGAGUGGCUGUAGGGUAUAGAGUGGCUGUAUGGUAUUAGGGUAUAGAGUGGCUGUAGGGUAUUAGGGUAUAGAGUGGCUGUAGGGUAUGGAGUGGCUGUAUGUUAUUGGGGUAUAGAGUGGCUGUAGGGUAUAGAGUGGCUGUAUGUUAUUAGGGUAUAGAGUGGCUGUAGGGUAUAGAGUGGCUGUAUGUUAUUAGGGUAUAGAGUGGCUGUAGGGUAUAGAGUGGCUGUAUGUUAUUAGGGUAUAGAGUGGCUGUAUGUUAUUAGGGUAUAGAGUGGCUGUAGGGUAUAGAGUGGCUGUAUGGUAUUAGGGUAUAGAGUGGCUGUAGGGUAUGGAGUGGCUGUAUGUUAUUAGGGUAUGGAGUGGCUGUAUGUUAUUAGGGUAUAGAGUGGCUGUAUGUUAUUAGGGUAUGGAGUGGCUGUAUGUUAUUAGGGUAUAGAGUGGCUGUAUGGUAUGGAGUGGCUGUAUGUUAUUAGGCUAUAGAGUGGCUGUAUGUUAUUAGGGUAUAGAGUGGCUGUAUGUUAUUAGGGUAUAGAGUGGCUGUAUGUUAUUAGGGUAUGGAGUGGCUGUAUGUUAUUAGGCUAUAGAGUGGCUGUAUGUUAUUAGGGUAUAGAGUGGCUGUAUGUUACUAAGCCCUUGCAGAUAAACCACAUGAUCAAAAUCGCAUCAUUUCAUGUUUGCAACAUCAUAAGAGGGUGGCAGAGCUUCAAACAGGAAGCUACCAUCCAAGCACAACGUUUUUUUUCCUGUUUUGAUGUUAAAGUUAUAAAACUGCCAUAAAUAAGGCACUGCCAAAUUCUGAUGUAUAUGUACAUACUAUGUACUGGUGUAUAUGUACAUACUAUGUACUGGUGUAUAUGUACAUACUAUGUACUGGUGUAUAUGUACAUACUAUGUACUGAUGUAUAUGUACAUACUAUGUACUGGUGUAUAUGUACAUACUAUGUACUGGUGCAUCAAAAUACAUACAAAAGUUGCCAAUAUCGUAUUUUAAUUUUGUAAUUUUGUAUUUUUUGUUAUUGUCCCGCCAUACCAACCCUAGCUAGCUAAAGUAGGACAGCACAGUGUAGUUAAAGAAGGACAGCACAGUGUAGCUAAAGUAAGUAGGACAGCACAGUGUAGUUAAAGAAGGACAGCACAGUGUAGCUAAAGAAGGACAGCACAGUGUAGUUAAAGUAAGUAGGACAGCACAGUGUAUGUAGUUAAAGACAGCACAGUGUAGCUGAAGUAGGACAGCACAGUGUAGCUAAAGUAGGACAGCACAGUGUAGUUAAAGAAGGACAGCACAGUGUAGCUAAAGUAGGACAGCACAGUGUAGCUAAAGAAGGACAGCACAGUGUAGCUAAAGUAGGACAGCACAGUGUAGCUGAAGUAGGACAGCACAGUGUAGCUAAAGUAGGACAGCACAAUGUAGCUAAAAUAGAACAACACAUAGUAGCUAAAGUAGAACAGCAUGGAGUAGCUAAAGUAGGACAGCACAGUGUUGCUAAAGUAGGACAGCACAGUGUAGCUAAAGUAGGACAGCACAGUGUAGCUGAAGUAGGACAGCACAGUGUAGCUAAAAUAGAACAACACGGAGUAGCUAAAGUAGAAAAACAUGGAGUUGCUAAUGUAGGACAGCAUGGAGUAGCUAAAGUAGGACAGUAUGGAGUAGCUAAAGUAGGACAGCAUGGAGUAGCUAAAGUAGGAUUGCAUGGAGUAGCUUAAGUAGGACAGUAUGGAGUAGCUAAAGUAGGACCGCACAGUGUAGCUAAAAUAGAACAACAUGGAGUAGCUAAAGUAGAACAGCAUGGAGUAGCUAAAGUAGGACAGCACAGUGUAGCUAAAGUAGGACAGCACAGUGUAGCUAAAGUAGGACAGCACAAUGUAGCUAAAAUAGAACAACACAGAGUAGCUAAAGUAGAACAGCAUGGAGUAGCUAAAGUAGGACAGCACAGUGUAGCUAAAGUAGGACAGCACAGUGUAGCUAAAGUAGGACAGCACAGUGUAGCGAAAGUAGGGCAGCAUGGAGUAGCUAAAGUAGAACAGUCUUAUAGGCUUUUCCAUUCGAGGAAAGAGAUCCAGUUUACAUUAGGAACCCCCUGUACUUAGGUUAGGCAGGGACCGGGAUCUUGUAGUACUAUAUACAAUUUUGUUGUACUGUUAUUAAUACUAUUAUUAAUACUGUUGAGUGCAUUCAGAAUAAGUGGGGCACUUUUUUAAUUUCCAUCUUCUACAAUCUCUUCAGACAUCUAUCCAACAUAUUAGCCCGAUACAUUUCUGAAAUUCUCAGAUGUUUCCUAAUCAAUCACAAAUUGAAUUGAUUUGUCAUUGGGGUACACACCCAUUUGCGUACGCUGAGUCAAAACCAAUAUUUUCUGUUUUGCAUUUGGUAGAUUGGGACAACAGGUUAGAUACACUGGGACAACAGGUACAUUAUGUAUGGAUUUAUAGACACCCCAGACCAGGAUGUAGAUACAUUAUGUAUGGAUAUAUAGACACCCCAGACCAGGAUGUAGAUACAUUAUGUAUGGAUAUAUAGACACCCCAGACCAGGAUGUAGAUACAUUAUGUUUGGAUAUAUAGACACCCCAGACCAGGAUGUAGAUACAUUAUGUAUGGAUAUAUAGACACCCCAGACCAGGAUGUAGAUACAUUAUGUUUGGAUAUAUAGACACCCCAGACCAGGAUGUAGAUACAUUAUGUAUGGAUAUAUAGAC
ensembl:lncRNA